rnacentral:rRNA from 1 species
UCCUACGGGAGGCAGCAGCGGGGAAUAUUGGACAAUGGGCGCAAGCCUGAUCCAGCAAUGCCGCGUGUGUGAAGAAGGCCUUCGGGUUGUAAAGCACUUUUAUCAGGAGCGAAAUGCCAUGGGCUAAUACCCUAUGGAGCUGACGUACCUGAGAAUAAGCCCGC